UUAACUUUGGUCCUGUAACAAUAGAAAAAUGACUCAGUUGCUCUGUUUGUGAAACUGGGGCAGUGAUGCCAGCUGCUUGCCUUGCACAAAGGGAUGAAGGAGGGCCAGCCUUAUGAGACAAUAGAGGCCUCUGGAGUCGGGGCAUUACAUAGGUGGGGAGGAGGAAGGUGCCAAGAAAGAGCUGGAAGACUGUGGAGGGGGCAACCUGACACAGAACUGAAGGAAGCCUAGCAAGCCCUCUCUCCACAUCUCCCUUCUACUCCAGAUUUUCAGCUGCAGGAUUAUAAAGAACUCAGGAUUUCCCAGAGUCAAGAAGAGGCCCAGUGGGGACAAUUUUGGAGGUCAGCCCAGGCUGAAGUGGAUGGCCAAUUGACACCAAGCGGAACGAUGGACAACCAUGUUAAUAGAUCUCCUGAUUUUCCAAGAGAAGUUAGAAAUUUCUAUUUUUAUAUGAAAUCUCCUGUUUUUAAACGUUGGCAACUGAUUCAAAAUAAUUUUAAACACUUUGAAAGAUAAAUAAAAUGUGUCUGCAGGCAGCCCAGUUUGUGACCUCUUCUUCUAGAAGUCCCCUAGAGAAGACUUAGCAAUAAUUACUCUUCGGAGCCUCCCCAACUUUACCCCAUUCUCACCUCCACCCCUCCCUCAUUAACUCCCUCCCUAAUUAACUGUUCUUUGACCUCAGUUACUAAAGCAAUUUAUAUGUAUGUCUGUUAGAGUGCUCAAUACAUUCUGUG
rnacentral:lncRNA from 1 species